GGUCUCACAUCUACACAGCGGGGGACGUGCUGCUGCCAGCAGAUGAGGGGGUCUCGCAUCUACAUAGUGGGGGGGAGCCAUACUGCUGUGAGUGCUGCCAGCAGGUGAGAGGGUCUCACAUCUACAUAGUGACGGGGGAGCCGUACUGCUGCCAACAGGUGAGGGGGUCUCACAUCUACAUAGUGGGGGGGAGCCGUACUGCUGCGAGCGCUGCCAGCAGGUGAGAGGGUCUCACAUCUACAUAGUGGCGGGGGAACCGUACUGCUGCCAACAGGUGAGGGGGUCUCACAUCUACAUAGUGGGGGGGAGCCGUA